UACAGAAGUUACAUUCUCCCUGUUGACUCUGGGUUAUUGAAAGUGCUGUGCUUUUUUUAUUUUUAAGAGAUUUGUGUUUCAUCCUUACAUCUCAGAAGCAGCUUUUUGAACUCGCCAGCAGGAAGGGGAGGAGAUAUUCUGGAUGGUUCUGCCUACAAAAGUACCACCCAUCUCUACCUGAUUGCAGGAUGCCCACCUAGAGCUCAGAGAGAAAAUGGACCACAGGAAACAUGCUGCAUACACCUGGACAGGACGUAACCAAGGAGACCAUGCAUGAAGAGCCGAGUGUAAGUCUGGAAGAGAUGAUCAGCGUGGGGAGGGACCCAACAGCUGUGUCACAGAGCUGAGAUGAUCGCCUGGGAUGAGUGGCUUGGCUUAGUGUGUGUGUGUGUGUGUGUGUGUGUGUGUGUGUGUGUGUGUGUGGUAGUUAGACUGUGAGGGUACAAACAGCUCCUGCUUCUGUGGCUCUGGCUUUCAGGCCCACUCAGGAACAGGAAACAAGGUCUGUCUAAGGAAGGGAGCCAGGAUAAGAACCUGCACACCUUCAGGGAAAGUGUGGGUUAGGAAACAAAAUGAAAUAAAACUACCUGUCUGAUGGCUCAGCAAGAUACUAGGAACGCAGAUAUUUCCUCUGCUGGGCCCUUGGUGAACCAGGGCUCUCACACAGGUUAAAUCUGAAUCUGUAUAGCCCAGAAGGAUGGAGACUCACAAGCUAAAGUCUUCAGAUAAAAGGGAACCCAGGCUGCUUACCAGUUUGAUUUACCCCGAGAGUAAAAGUGGUAAUCCUUUGCUGAAGGACUUCUCCAGAAUCUAGGAUGAGAGGAAUUGCACAGAGUGCACAAGCCACAGUAGAGAUGAGAACACUGCCCACCAUGUUCACGAGAUGGAGGAUGCGAUGACCAGGACCAGCGAG
rnacentral:lncRNA from 1 species